rnacentral:rRNA from 1 species
AUCCAGGCCCUACGGGGUGCAGCAGGCGCGAAAACUUUACAAUGCUGGCAACAGCGAUAAGGGAACCUCGAGUGCCAGGUUACAAAUCUGGCUGUCGAGAUGCCUAAAAAGCAUUUCAUAGCAAGGGCCGGGCAAGACCGGUGCCAGCCGCCGCGGUAACACCGGCGGCUCGAGUGGUAACCGUUAUUAUUGGGUCUAAAGGGUCUGUAGCCGGCCGGAUAAGUCUCUUGAGAAAUCCAGCAGCUCAACUGUUGGGCUUUCAGGAGAUACUGUCUGGCUCGAGGCCGGGAGAGGUGAGAGGUACUUCAGGGGUAGGGGUGAAAUCUUGUAAUCCUUGAAGGACCACCAGUGGCGAAGGCGUCUCACCAGAACGGACCUGACGGCAAGGGACGAAAGCUAGGGGCACGAACCGGAUUAGAUACCCGGGUAGUCCUAGCCGUAAACGAUACUCGCUAGGUGUCGGCCACGGUGCGACCGUUGUCGGUGCCGUAGGGAAGCCGUGAAGCGAGC